rnacentral:rRNA from 1 species
AGGUCAAGCGAACAAGGGCGCAGGGCGAAUGCCUUGGCACUGGGAGCCGAUGAAAGACGUGAUAAGCUGCGAUAAGCUUCGGGGAGCUGCAAAUAAGCAUUGAUCCGGAGAUUUCUGAAUGAGGAAACUCACCUGGGUUCAUACUCAGGUACGUUAUACUGAACUUAAAAAUAGGUAUAUCGAGGGAACCGCCUGAACUGAAACAUCUAAGUAGGGCGAGGAAGAGACAUCAAACGAGAUUCCGUAAGUAGUGGCGAGCGAACGCGGAAGAGGGCAAACCGGGAGUAGAAAUACUCCCGGGGUACGGACUGCUUUUAGGACUUAAUCUGUUAACCGAACGGCAUGGGAAGGCCGGUCAGAGAGUGUGAGAACCACGUAGGUGAAAACGGAGAGAGCUGCGCAGGAUCCAGAGUACGGCCAGACACGUGAAACCUGGUCGGAAUACGGGGGGACCACCCUCCAACCCUAAAUACUACCCAGUGACCGAUAGCGUAUAGUACUGUGAAGGAAAGGUGAAAAGCACCCCGGGAGGGGAGUGAAAAAGAACCUGAAACCCUGUGCCUACAAGCACCUAGAGCACGUCAAUGUGUGAUAGGGUACUUUUUGUAGAACGGUCCGGCGAGCGAUUGUAUGCAGCAAGGUUAAGGACUUAAGGUCUGGAGCCGAAGCGAAAGCGAGUUUGAAAAGGGCGUUAAGUUGCAUACAAUGGGCCCGAAACCGGGUGACCUACCCAUGGUCAGGUUGAAGUGGAAGUAAAAUUCCAUGGAGGACCGAACCGACCUCCGUUGAAAAGGCGGCGGAUGAACUGUGGGUAGCGGAGAAAUUCCAAUCGAACCCGGAGAUAGCUGGUUCUCCCCGAAAUAGUUUUAGGACUAGCCUCAAGUUAGAUACCUGGAGGUAAAGCACUGAAUAGCCUAGCGGCCGAGAGGUUAGCGAAGCUUAUCAAACUCAGAAUGCCAGAGUAUUGAUGCUUGGGAGUCAGACAGUGUCAGAUAAAUGUCAUUGUCAAAAGGGAAACAGCCCAGAUCUACAGCUAAGGUCCCAAAGUCAGGUUAAGUGGAAAACGAUGUGAAGAUACGUAGACAACCAGGAUGUUGGCUCAGAAGCAGCCACACAUUCAAAGAGUGCGUAAUAGCUCACUGGUCGAGCGUCUUUGCGCGGAGAAUUUAACGGGGCUAAACCUGACACCGAAGCUUAGGCAAUACAGCAAUGUAUUGGGUAGGGGAGCGUUGUAUACGCGGUGAAACAGUAGCGCAAGCGGCUGUGGAGUGUAUAGAAGUGAGAAUGCCGGAAUGAGUAGCGCGAAUGCAGUGAGAAUCUGCAUGGCCGAAAGCCUCAGGUUUCUGGAGGAAGGUUCGUCCGCUCCAGGUUAGUCGGGAGCUAAGGUGAGGCCUAACGGCGUAGCCGAUGCACAGACGGUAGAGAUUCCGUCACCACCAAAAGAGUUAAACACAGGGACACAUUUGAAGUCUCGGAGCCGGGUGUUGGUUCCGGUAGCGAUCGAGGGAAGUUAGUACCGAAGUCCGGGAUGGAAGAUGGCGAGAAAAGCUGUGUGUAUUUCUGCGGUGCCCGUACCGCAAACCGACACAGGUAGGUAGGAAGAAGAUUCUAAGGCCAACGGGAGAAGGGUUGUUAAGGAACUCGGCAAAUUGACCCCGUAACUUCGGGAGAAGGGGUGCUCCAGAGAUGGAGCCGCAGAGAAUCGGCCCAAGCAACUGUUUACCAAAAACACAGGUUUGUGCUAAAUCGAAAGAUGACGUAUACGAGCUGACGCCUGCCCGGUGCUGGAAGGUUAAGAGGAGAUGUGCAAGCAUUGAAUCGAAGCCCCAGUGAACGGCGGCCGUAACUAUAACGGUCCUAAGGUAGCGAAAUUCCUUGUCAGGUAAGUUCUGACCCGCAUGAAAGGCGUAAUGAUUUGGGCACUGUCUCGACAGCCCGCCCGGCGAAAUUGUAGUACCGGUGAAGAUGCCGGUUACCCGCGACAAGACGGAAAGACCCCAUGGAGCUUUACUGUAGCCUAAUAUUGGGUUUCGAUGUUGCAUGCACAGGAUAGAUGGGACACNCAAGUGCUUUGGCAUUUGUGGAGUGGCCGUUGGGAUACCAUCCUUGCGAUAUUGGAAUUCUAACCUGCGCCUUUGAAUCAAGGCGGGGGACAUUGUUAGGUGGGCAGUUUGACUGGGGCGGUCGCCUCCUAAAGAGUAACGGAGGCGUUCAAAGGUUCGCUCAGCUUGAACGGAAAUCAAGCAAAAGAGUGCAAACGCAGAAGCGAGCCUAACUGCGAGACUGACGGGUCGAGCAGUAACGAAAGUUGGAGUUAGUGAUCCGGUGGUAUGUGAGUGGAAAUGCCAUCGCUCAACGGAUAAAAGUUACCCUGGGGAUAACAGGCUGAUCUCCCCCAAGAGUCCACAUCGACGGGGAGGUUUGGCACCUCGAUGUCGGCUCAUCGCAUCCUGGGGCUGUAUUCGGUCCCAAGGGUUUGGCUGUUCGCCAAUUAAAGCGGUACGCGAGCUGGGUUCAGAACGUCGUGAGACAGUUCGGUCCCUAUCUGUCGUGGGCGCAGGAUAUUUGAUGGGAGCUGUUCCUAGUACGAGAGGACCGGAGCGGACGUACCUCUGGCGCACCAGUUGUUCUGCCAAGGGCAUAGCUGGGCAACUAUGUACGGAUCGGAUAAACGCUGAAAGCAUCUAAGCGUGAAGCCGACCCAAAGAUAAGAUAUCCCAUUGUUUCAAACAAGUAAGACCCCUUGAAGACUACAAGGUUGAUAGGCACGAUGUGUAAGUGGAGUGAUCCAUUCAGCAAGCGUGUACUAAUAGGUCGAGGGCUUGACCACA